CACAAGGUGGCGCUGUGCUCCCGGCUUGGUCUCUGCCGGGUCCGGUGUCGCCUGGCCGCCCCCUGACCGCCCCCGCCCGUCCACCGACCCGUUUGUCCCGCGUCUCCUGUUACGAGUGGGGACCAGCGAUUCAGCGGAUGUUCAGUCCUUCCACAGACAGUUAUUAAGCGCCUGCUGUGUGCCGGGCAGCACGGGAUGGGCAGGGCCACGUGAGACAUUUGCCACUGGGGGCCCCUCCCUCCGUGAAAAAAUGUGACAGCUGAUCUUGCGCGACUGCACUGGGGUUCUUUUAUUUCUCUUUUUCUCCUGAUUUUGAGACAUUAAAAUGAAGCCAUUCUGUGGGUCCCUCAGAGUGUCACGGGCCCUGGGUCUCCUGUGUCUGAUGGAUGAGCCGGCUCUGGUGACCAGGUGAGGAAACUGAGGCCCAGAGACUCAGAUGAAGACUCGAGCCCGCAAGGCCAGCACAGCCCCUCCGCUCCACUGGUACACAGCCCCCUUGUCACAAUCAGGCCUGCAGGGGCUGUGCUGGCUCCGCCCUCCCGGGUCCCCAUCCCGGCUCGGUCACUCACUGAUGCCGAGGGAGCCCGGCCAGCGAUGUCACCUCCUCCGCUCUGCAUCUCUGCGCUGGGUCCCUUCCUUCUUAGCCAGAGCAGUAAAGGCUGUGGUUCUGGGAGGAACAGAGCUUUCCAUCUCCCCAAACUGCAGCUCUGUCCCCAUGACACACUGACUCCCACCCCUCCCCCAGCCCCUGGCCCCCCAUCCACUUUCUGUCUCUGUGGAUGUGGCUCCUCUGGGGACCUCCUGUGAGUGGACCACACAGUGUGUGUCCCUCUGUGUCUGGCUCACGUCCCUGAGCAUCACAUCCUCAGGUCCAUCCACGUGGGAGCAGGUGUCAGGAUCUCCUUCCUUUUUUUUUUUUGGUCAUCAAAGGCGUCGAGGCCUCCUUGCGCCCUGUCUUGGAUCACUUGCUCCAGUGGAAGCCAGCUGCCAUGUUGUGAAGACACCUGAGAAGCCCACGGACAAGGAACGGAGGCCUCCCGCCAACAACCAUGGGAAGGAGCCAUCUGAGAAGUGGAUUCUCCAGGCCCCGUGGACCUGUUAUCACAAUCGCCUUUUGAAAAGCUCUCUCUCUGGCUGCUGUGUGGAGAAUGGACUGUAGGGGGCAGGAGUGGAUGGAGCUGGCUUGGAAAGUGGCUACUGCAAUGGUCCAGGCAUGCAUGGAUGGUGUCCUGGAUUUGGGUGGCGGCAGGGGACAUGGAUGAAGUGGAUGGGUUUAGUGGUUAUUUAGGAAGCAACACAAAUGGGACUUGGGACAAUGAAAGGUCGUUGAUGUCCCGCAGGUGGGGCCUUCCUUGCAACAGGGAGCUGAGGAAGGAGCAAGUGGAGGUAGAGAUGGGGGAAGAGGAGAUGACGAGUUUAGCUGAGGCCACCUUGAGUCUCUGUUCCUCAAAUGUCCAAGGGGCCACCAUAAAUGUAGCUCCUUGUCUGAUAAGAGUAGACUACAGACUCAAGCUGGGGUGAAUGUGCGCACCCGCGGGACACUUGGCAAUAUCUGGGACAUUUUGGGGUGUCACACCUUGAGGGCCAGUGGGGGGGCAGGUAGUGCUGCUGACGUCUCAUGGGUAAGAGCUGAAGAUGGUAGUCAGCAUCCUGUAAUGCACGGGACCAUCCCCCCUAAAAGGAACGAUCGGACCCCAAAUGUCAAUAGUGCCGAGGUGGAGAAACCCUAAGAUAGACCAAUGGCUGGAAUAAACAAUUCCCAGUUUCAAUAAAGUUUUAUUCGUCGUGUA